rnacentral:rRNA from 1 species
UACGUAGGCAGCAAGCGUUGUUCGGAGUUACUGGGCGUAAAGAGUGCGUGGGUGGUGCCCUAAGUCUGUUGUGAAAUCUCCCGGCUUAACUGGGAGGGUGCGGUGGAAACUGGGGUGCUUGAGUGUGGGAGAGGUAAGCGGAAUUCCUGGUGUAGCGGUGAAAUGCGUAGAUAUCAGGAGGAACACCGGUGGUGUAGACGGCUUACUGGACCACGACUGACACUGAGGCACGAAAGCGUGGGUAGCAAACAGG